rnacentral:rRNA from 1 species
CAUGCCGCGUGUGUGAAGAAGGCCCUAGGGUUGUAAAGUCCUUUCGUUGGUGAAGAUAAUGACGGUAACCAAAGAAGAAGCCCCGGCUAAUUUCGUGCCAGCAGCCGCGGUAAUACGAAGGGGGCUAGCGUUGUUCGGAAUUACUGGGCGUAAAGCGCACGUAGGCGGAUCAGUCAGUCAGAGGUGAAAUCCCGGAGCUCAACUUCGGAACUGCCUUUGAUACUGCUGAUCUGGAGUUCAUGAGAGGUGUGUGGAAUUCCGAGUGUAGAGGUGA